rnacentral:rRNA from 1 species
AGUGAACGCUGGCGGUAGGCCUAACACAUGCAAGUCGAACGGCAGCACAGUAAGAGCUUGCUCUUACGGGUGGCGAGUGGCGGACGGGUGAGGAAUACAUCGGAAUCUACUUUUUCGUGGGGGAUAACGUAGGGAAACUUACGCUAAUACCGCAUACGACCUACGGGUGAAAGCAGGGGAUCUUCGGACCUUGCGCGAUUGAAUGAGCCGAUGUCGGAUUAGCUAGUUGGCGGGGUAAAGGCCCACCAAGGCGAGGAUCCGUAGCUGGUCUGAGAGGAUGAUCAGCCACACUGGAACUGAGACACGGUCCAGACUCCUACGGGAGGCAGCAGUGGGGAAUAUUGGACAAAGGGCGCAAGCCUGAUCCAGCCAUACCGCGUGGGUGAAGAAGGCCUUCGGGUUGUAAAGCCCUUUUGUUGGGAAAGAAAAGCAGCAGGUUAAUACCCCGCUGUUCUGACGGUACCCAAAAAAUAAGCACCGGCUAACUUCGUG